CCCUUAGAUGUUCUGGGCUGCACGCGCGCUACACUGGUGCGUUCAGCGAGUUUAGCACCUUAACAGAUAUGUUUGGGUAAUCUUCUGAAAACGCACCGUGAUGGGGAUCGAUUAUUGUAAUUAUUAAUCGUCAACGAGGAAUUCCUAGUAAGUGUGAAUCAUCAGUUCGCGCUGAUUACGUCCCUGCCCUUUGCACACACCGCCCGUCGCUGCUACCGAUUGAGUGGUCCGGUGAAUUAUUCGGACCGGUGGACUGUGGGGAAACCCGCGGCCUGCUGGGAAGUCUUGUGAACCUUAUCACUUAGAGGAAGCAGAAGUCGUAACA
rnacentral:rRNA from 1 species